rnacentral:sRNA from 1 species
GGAUUCCCCUAGUAACUGCGAGUGAAGCGGGAAAAGCUCAAAUUUAAAAUCUGGCGGUCCCUGUGGCCGUCCGAGUUGUAAUUUAGAGAAGUGUUAUCCGCGCUGGACCGUGUACAAGUCUCCUGGAAUGGAGCGUCAUAGAGGGUGAGAAUCCCGUCUUUGACACGGACUGCCAGGGCUUUGUGAUGCGCUCUCAAAGAGUCGAGUUGUUUGGGAAUGCAGCUCAAAAUGGGUGGUAAAUUCCAUCUAAAGCUAAAUAUUGGGGAGAGACCGAUAGCGAACAAGUACCGUGAGGGAAAGAUGAAAAGAACUUUGGAAAGAGAGUUAAACAGUACGUGAAAUUGCUGAAAGGGAAACGCUUGAAGUCAGUCGCGUCGUUCAGGACUCAGCCUUGCUUUUGCUUGGUGUACUUCUUGUUCGACGGGUCAGCAUCAAUUUUGGUCGGUGGAUAAAGGCUUAGAGAAUGUGGCAUCUUCGGGUGUGUUAUAGCUCUGGGUCGCAUACAUCGGCUGGGAUUGAGGAACUCAGCACGCCGCAAGGCCGGGGACUUGUCCCACGUACGUGCUUAGGAUGCUGGCAUAAUGGCUUUAAUCGACCC